rnacentral:rRNA from 1 species
UACAGAGGUCUCGAGCGUUGUUCGGAUUCAUUGGGCGUAAAGGGCGCGUAGGCGGCGGGGUAAGUCUGGUGUGAAAUCUAGGAGCUCAACUCCUAAACUGCACUGGAUACUGCUCUGCUGGAGGACUGGAGAGGAGACUGGAAUUCACGGUGUAGCAGUGAAAUGCGUAGAUAUCGUGAGGAAGACCAGUGGCGAAGGCGGGUCUCUGGACAGUUCCUGACGCUGAGGCGCGAAGGCCAGGGGAGCAAACGGG